rnacentral:rRNA from 1 species
UACGGGGGGGGCAAGCGUUGUUCGGAAUUACUGGGCGUAAAGGGCUCGUAGGUGGCCAACUAAGUCAGACGUGAAAUCCCUCGGCUUAACCGGGGAACUGCGUCUGAUACUGGAUGGCUUGAGUUUGGGAGAGGGAUGCGGAAUUCCAGGUGUAGCGGUGAAAUGCGUAGAUAUCUGGAGGAACACCGGUGGCGAAGGCGGCAUCCUGGACCAACACUGACACUGAGGCACGAAGGUCAGGGGAGCAAACGGG